GUAGGUGAACCUGCGGAAGGAUCAUUAUCGAAUAAAACUUGAACAGGCUGUUGCUGGCUCCCUCGGAUGCAUGUGCACGCUUGUCAUUUUUAUCUCAUUUCUCCUCUGUGCACCAACUGUAGGCCUGGAGUUUGGUUUGAAAUCCUUUCAGGUCUAUGUUUUUACAAUCUCUCAAUGUGUUUGGAAUGUCGAGUUGCAUAAUAUAUACAUACAACUUUCAGCAACGGAUCUCUUGGCUCUC
rnacentral:misc_RNA from 1 species